rnacentral:rRNA from 1 species
GUCCACGCCCUAAACGAUGCUCACUAGGUGUUGGGGAAGCGAUUCCUUGGUACCGAAGCUAACGCGUGAAGUGAGCCGCCUGGGGAGUACGGCCGCAAGGUUAAAACUCAAAGGAAUUGACGGGGACCCGCACAAGCGGUGGAUGAUGUGGAUUAAUUCGAUGCAACGCGAACAACCUUACCUACCCUUGACAUGUCUGGAAGCCUGCUGAGAGGCGGGUGUGCCUGAAAGGGAACCGGAACACAGGUGCUGCAUGGCUGUCGU